GUUCUUUUGUUCUGAUCUAUUCUGUUCCAUUACAUCUGAUCUAAUUAUCCUAUCGGCUUCGUCUCCUCUUGCUCUUCUAUUAACUGCUCCCAGCUACAAGUAGUCAAGAGAUCGCAGGAAGAGAGGGAGAAAAGGGGGAAGUGAUGGAGGGGCGCUGCUGCUCUACCUCCGCCGGCGAGGAACCAAGGAAACCUCCGCGGCCGCCGGCAGGGCGGAGAUCGACGGGGAGCAGCGCAGGCGCCGGCGCUGGCAGAGAUAGGCCCUAUAGAGGCGUCAGGAUGAGGAAGUGGGGAAAGUGGGUGGCGGAGAUUCGUGAGCCGAACAAGCGGUCGCGGAUUUGGCUCGGUUCUUACUCCACCGCGGUCGCCGCCGCUCGGGCCUACGACACCGCCGUGUUCUACCUCCGCGGCCGUUCCGCACGCCUCAACUUCCCCGACCAGAUCCUCGACGAUUGCGCCGGUGAAGCCGGCGCAGACGGCGCGGCUCUCUCGGCCGAUUCGAUUCGGAAGAAGGCGACCGAGGUCGGCGCGAGGGUAGACGCCCUCCAAACCGGACUGAUGCCUUCGCCGCCGCCGCCGCCUCCGCCGCCUCCGAGGCCGCAGAAGAACCCUGAUCUGAACCAGGAGCCGAGCCCGGAGGGCUCCGACGUGGAUUAAUCAAGCGACUAAGGUAGCGCCAUCCAUCCAUCCAUAUAUAGAUGCAAAAAGUAAUGAAGAUUUAAGGAAGAAGAAGAAGAAGAUGAUGGAGAAGAAGAUAAAGUUGGUUGGCCAAAUUCCAAGUCGUCAAAUUAGAGCAGCAGUAGAUAAGACGUCGCUGUAGGUGACGUGGUCGAGCAGAGGCGCAAUGGUGCUGCCAGGUGCUCGCGUUAAGCUCCGACGUGGAUCGAACAUGCCUCCCGAUAGACUGACGACGGUUCAUCCACUAGCAUCGACAGUGGGAGCUGAAGUGCGAUCAACAUCACAAAAAACAGGUCCCCCCCGCUUUGCCAUUUCGCCGAACACUUCGCUGGCUGGCUGGCUGGCUGCCUGCAACACCUUGGGCGAGUCUUUUUUUUCUGGAAUCUAAUUAAGAACUGGCGUGCCCGAUUUGGCCGCGCAACAUGAGAUGAGAUGAGAUGAGAUGAGAUGAGAUGGGAAAAGUAGGAUUGUGGAAGUAGAGAAGGCAAGGGAGUGGAUUGGGGGCUGUCACCCACCCGAUUUGGCUCCACACUGAGGCUUAAGGCUGAGGGUAGUGCGAGGCAGGCCAAUUGUUGGUGCCGUCGUGUACUUUGAAUGCGUGAUAAUUAAGAUAUGUCCAUGUCCAUGUCCAAAUAUUUUAGAAAUGGAAUCCAUGAAGACUUGAAGAGCUA